AACCCCUCGUUUCUCUCUCUAUCUGUCGCCGCUUCCUCUUCUCUCUCCUCUCUGUCGGCGUUCGCGACUGGCGGCCAUGGCCGAAUGUCGCCGGAGCAUCUCUCUCUUCUGAUGUCUCUUUUUCCCUCUUCCUCUGCCUUCUCUCUCUGCGAUGUGGACGGCGACCGAACCUCGUUGGAGCGCAUGCCGCUUGAGUCGUCGCCCCUCUCUCUCAUCUUUCCUUUCUACGUUGUCGCUGUCGCGAGGGGAAACGUGGCCGUGAGAUCUAGUUCAACGUCGUGAGAUCGGCGGAUCUUUCUCGUUCUCGCAUUCUCGGCGGAUCUGCUUCUCUCGCCAUCGCAAAUCAGACGGCAUCGGGAGGCUCCUCCUCGCUCGCCGUCGGACAUCGAUGGUGUCGGUAAUGGUUCUUUUUCGCUCGUCGUCGCGAACUGAACAGUCUUGGAAGGUUCUUCGUCACUCGCCUUCGCGAAGAUUCUAUGGUUCUCUCCUGUGUUAUCUUCGCGGUUGUGUGGGUAGACUACGGGCUCCGUCAUUUCGGUCGAGGUUCAUGCCAUAUCGAAAGAACUAGUUCACAAGACUAUCAACGGGACCGUGGAAGAAGAAGUUGAUGUUUGUGAAGAGAAUAUUGAAGCCACUGGAAGCCAACAACAGCCCCACGUGUUCUGCAAGAAACUUACUGCUGGAGUUUUGUUUUUUAGUUCGUGAAAUAAAUUUCUAGUAAUAUGUUGUUUCAGCAUAGAAUGUGUGUAAUUUGUAAGAGUAAUUUUGUUUUAUUUUUAUAAUUUGAUAAUAUUUGAUGUUGGUUUU